GGACUACACGGGUAUCUAAUCCUGUUUGCUCCCCACGCUUUCGCGUCUCAGCGUCAGUCACCGUCCAGAGGGCCGCCUUCGCCACCGGUGUUCCUCCUGAUAUCUACGCAUUUCACCGCUACACCAGGAAUUCCACCCUCCUCUCCGGGACUCCAGUCUGCCAGUUUCCAAUGCACUUCCGAGGGUGAGCCUCGGGCUUUCACAUCAGACUUAGCAGGCCGCCUACACGCGCUUUACGCCCAGUGAUUCCGAACAACGCUCGCACCCUCCGUAUUACCGCGGCUGCUGGCAC
rnacentral:rRNA from 1 species